GACGAACGCUGGCGGCGUGCCUAAUACAUGCAAGUCGAACGCUUCUUUCCUCCCGAGUGUUUGCACUCAAUUGGAAAGAGGAGUGGCGGACGGGUGAGUAACACGUGGGUAACCUACCCAUCAGAGGGGGAUAACACUUGGAAACAGGUGCUAAUACCGCAUAACAGUUUAUGCCGCAUGGCAUAAGAGUGAAAGGCGCUUUCGGGUGUCGCUGAUGGAUGGACCCGCGGUGCAUUAGCUAGUUGGUGAGGUAACGGCUCACCAAGGCCACGAUGCAUAGCCGACCUGAGAGGGUGAUCGGCCACACUGGGACUGAGACACGGCCCAGACUCCUACGGGAGGCAGCAGUAGGGAAUCUUCGGCAAUGGACGAAAGUCUGACCGAGCAACGCCGCGUGAGUGAAGAAGGUUUUCGGAUCGUAAAACUCUGUUGUUAGAGAAGAACAAGGACGUUAGUAACUGAACGUCCCCUGACGGUAUCUAACCAGAAAGCCACGGCUAACUACGUG
rnacentral:rRNA from 1 species